CACAAAUGUAGAGAAGUGGGUUUGCUUUCCAAAAAGGAAUCUUGCACAUGGAGCUUGGAACAGAACCAAGGAGGAGAGUGAUAGGGAAAGAGAGCUAUCCCAGAAUUCAACCUCCAUAGCAAGCUAUCAUAGCAUCCUUGACUAGAGCUCUUCUAAGGGGGUCAGGUGGGUUGAAAAGCCAUAAUUGAGAGAGGCCUCCCCUUCUACAUAAAUCAGCAAUUGUAUGGGCAGUUUCAUUGCCAGAUCUUCGGGUCCAGGUGAAUGUAGAGGUAAAUAAAUUCUGACUUAGCUUUCUUAUACCUCCAAGAAUGUUACGUAUUUCACCAAUGUUCUUGUUUCCAUUGCAAGCAUCAAUGAGGACCUUGUUAUCAGAUUCAAAGAUUACAUGCUGCCAUUGAAGAUUGUAGGCAAGGAUUGUGGCUUCCCUUAAGGCCAAAGCUUCGGCAAUGAGGGGGGAGGGAGCAGAAAUUUGCUUAGCUGAUCCGGAGAGGGGCUGGCCUUGAUGGUCCCUUGCAACUGCUGAGAUGCUAUGAAUUGGGUUUCCAGGAGACCAGCUUCUUGCCUUGCACCUCUAUUGUUUGCUGUUUGUUGCAUCUCACCCCUCAUCAUGGUAAGGCAUUCAGUUUGAAACAUAAACGCUUUCCUCAAGGUAUUCAAAGGAUUUGGUUGCGCGCCUUGGUAGACCCACUCAUUCCUGUCCUUCCAUACUGACCAUAGAAUAGCACUAAUGAGGAUUAGUGUUUGUCCUAGGUGCUCAGGAUUGUUUCUCAGGGGAAAGAUCCUCUCCAUCAGCCAAAUAUCAAACCUUGUUGUGUGUUGAAUUCCAGGGUCCCAUUGUAGAUUAGAACCGAACCAAAUGUGCCUAGUCCACAUGCAAUUGAGCAAAGCAUGUUCUGUAGUUUCAAUCUCCUAGGAGCAGAUUGGGCAAGUGGGGUCAGUGUUGAUUUUUCUUCUGAACAGAUUUCCUUUGAGGGGUAGAGCAUUGAAGCAAGCCUUCCAUAGAAACAUUUUGACCUUCUGUGGGAUGUGAGCACUUCAGAUUUCAUCCCAGAAUUCUUUGGGGAGGUUGGUAGAGGAGGAGGGGCCCUGUGUAUUAUGCAGAUUUUCCUUCCUGGCCACAUGAUACCCUGAUUUUAUAGUGUACUCCCCUUGGUGAGUGAAAGGCCAGAAUAAGUUGUCUGGGCCUUGGGUAAUGCUGAUUGGGGUUUGAGUGAUUUCCGUUACAAUCUCUCUUGGGAAGAUCCUCUGCAAUUUAUGCUGCUGCCAGGUAUUUGUAGAGGGUUCUAUGAGAUCAGCCACUGUUCUUACACUGGUAUUCUGGAAUUGUUUGAUAGGUCUUCCCGACGCAAUCCAGUUAUGCUCCCAGAUACAAAUUGCGGAACCAUUGCCAAUUGACCAUUUGGAGUUCCUUGCCAGAAAGUCCCUUCCUUGAAUGAUGCUGGACCACAUCCACGAGUCACCAUUCUUUUUUUUUUUACCUGCAUAAAAUCUGAGUUAGGAAAAUAGAUAGCCUUUAGGAUGCUUCCCCAGAGAGAUGAGGGUUGCUUGAGGAUUCUCCAAGCUUGUUUUCCAAGAUAGGAUAGAUUUUGGGGCAUGAAUUCACGGAAUCCUAGCCCUCCUUCGCCUUUGCUUGCUGAAAGUUUCUCCCAACUGCGCCAAUGGAUCCCUCUGUCUUUGCCUUGGCUUCUCCACCAGAAUCUAGCAAUUGUCGAAUUUAGAGACUUGCAAAAGCCCUUAAGGAACAGCACAACCGCCAUAGCAUACGAUGGAAUGGCUUGGAUAACUGCUUUUAUAAGCACUUCUUUUCCAGCUUGAUUAAGAUAAGUCUGUUUCAGCCCUUCCAUUUUACUCUUCACCCUUUCUAGUAUCCAUUCCAGUGCCUUUGUCUUCGAUCUCCCCCAAAUUGAUGGCAAACCUAAAUAUUUCCCGGGAUCUUCCCAUAAAAUCAUGUUUAGGAUCUGUCCAAUUUGGUUUAUCAUUGCAGGUGGAGUAUUUUUGCUGCAAGUAAAACCAGAUUUGCCAUUGUUGACUCUCUGACCAGACGCUUUAGAGAAGGUGUUUAGGAUCCGGAUGAUGUUGUAAGCUUCCGUGGGGGUAGCCUUAGCAAAAAGUAAGGAAUCAUCCGCAAAUAGUAAGUGUGUUAAGGAUGGGGCAGUAGGAGCCAACUGUAUUCCCUGGAUUCUCCCUUCUCUUUGAGCAUUUAGGAGCAUAUGGGAGAGGAUGUCAAUUGCUAGUACAAAGAUGUAGGGAGAAAGGGGGUCACCUUGUCUGAGACCCCUUUGAGGGAUGAGCCUUCUAUUGAGAAAACCAUUCACCUUGUAUCUAUAAGAAACUCCUUUGAUGAGUUUCAUUAUGAAGGCCACCCAGUUUGUGCUAAAGCCAUAGUGAUGUAGGGUUUUUUCUAUGAAGUUCCACUCAAGCCUAUCAUACGCCUUACUCAUGUCGAGUUUAAUGGCCAUAUGAUUUUCCUUACCUCUGUUGCUUUUGGUCAAGGUAUGGAACACCUCAUGAGCUAUGAUGAUAUUGUCUUGUAUAAGCCUCCCCCCCCCAAUAAAGGCGCUUUGAUUUUGAGAGAUAAUCUCAUCCAUGUAUCCCUUAAGUCUAGACACCACUAUUUUACUGAUGAUUUUAUAUAAGAAGUUACAGCAGCUAAUCGGUCUAUACUGGACAACACUUUCUGGUAGUGGCACUUUUGGUAUCAGGGCAACCACUGCCUCAUUCACUUCCUCGGGAAGGUUACCAGUUUCAAAGAAAGUUCUGAUAGCAUUGCAGACCUCCGAUUUGAUAGUGUCCCAAUGUGUUUUGUAGAAUAAGCCAUUGAGGCCAUCAGGGCCUGGGGAUUUUAAGCUGCCCAGGCUAAGCAUAGCUGAUUUGAUUUCCUCAUCAGUCACUGCACUGUUCAAAUCCUCAUUAAUUUCCUCUGUUAUGAGCCUUGGGACUCCAUCAAAGCAAACAUCCAUAUCUCCCACUGAAGUUGCGGUGAAGAUACCCUGAAAAUGAUCUGUGAUUGCCUGCAUAAUCUCUCCUUGGCCCUCAACCCAAUUACCUGAAUCAUCCUUCAGCCUUUGCAUCCUGUUCUUCUCCCGUCUUUGGAUUGUUGUUGCAUGGAAGAAUUUUGUAUUUUUAUCCCCCCACUUAGCCCACUUGAGCCUGGAUCUUUGCCCCCAAUAAGUCUCCUCCUGUUUCCAUAAGGCACCUAUCUGUUUUCUGAUAUCAUAAAUUUACUGCCAGUUAUCUGUACCUGAGUUGUUGUUUUGCAAUGAGUUAAGUUUCUGUUUCAGUUCUGCAAUUUCUUUUUCUGCAUUCUUGAAAGUCUCCUUUUUCCAUUUGGACAACCCUUUCUUACACGCUUUCAUUCUUUGAAUUAUGUCCUUCCAUUGGUCCUCUUGCAGCUGUGGUUCCUGCCAACCUGUAGUUACAACAUUUUUACAGUCCUCAUGGUCAUUCCAAAAAGCCUCGUACUUGAAUUGGCGCCCACUCUUAGUCUUAGGUGAUGGUUCAAGGAUGAUGGGGGAAUGGUUAGAGGAGAUGGCAGGUAGUGCUACUGCAGUAGCAUGCGGGUAAAAAGUCCUCCACUCCCAGUUGUAGAGAACUCUGUCCAGCUUGACCUUGGUUGUAAAACCCUGUCUAGGGUUGCUCAUCCAUGUGUAGUUGCAUUUUUUCAAGGACAUGUCCACCAAGCUUGCCUCAUGAAUGAAAGUACUAAACCUCUGUACACGCCAGGGUUGUACCGGUCUCAUUGAAGUCACCAACACAAAUCCAUGGGGUGUUUGGUCGCUAAUGUAGUCCAGCAACAGUAUUCCACAGGUUAUAUCUUCUAGUUGGUGCAGGUUCACCAUAAACAAAGGUGUAAUCCCAUAAUUUAGCAUCUUCUCUGUUGGUAAUCACAGUGUGGAUGUAGUUCUGAGCGUGUUCAACAAUAUCCACUGUUACUUCUGUAUUCCAAAGCAGGCAAAGGCCCCCGGACAGUCCUUGGGGUUCCACAUAGAAGAAGUUCUUGUAUUUCAAGGUAAAAGCUAGCUGUUUAAUCCUAUUCCCUUUGGCCCUUGUUUCCAUCAGGAAAAGGAUGGACGGUUUGUACCUCAAAGACAUGUCCUUGAGUUCUUUCUUUGUCGUAGCCCCGCCCAAGCCACGACAAUUCCAGCUAAGGAUAUUCAUGACCCCUUUGGGGGCAUGCUUUGGCCCGCCUCCUCGGCCUUUGUAACCUUUGUGCUAGCUGCUAGUUGUUCAAACAUAGGUGGUCCCAUUAAGAGAAGCCUCUUCGGGGGACUUUGAGAUUCAUCUUGUGCUUCUUCAUUAGUUGAAUUGCUUUCUCUACUCCUUUUUAGGAACAGAGACUUGUGGAAGCCCGUAGCUAGUUGUUUUUCAAUCCCUUCUGCAAAACAUUGGGUACUGUUGCUAUCAUCAUCUUCCUCAUCUGGUAGUUCUACAAAGUAAGGUUUGGCAGCAGAGCGUGUGUUGGGGGAAUUAGCAGGGUGGAUUUUGGGGCUCUGUUGCUGGCAGAAAUUCUUUACUUUCCUGAUAUUAUCCUGACUCAGAACCAUGGAUGGGUUUUUGACACCUAACCUGGUGGGGCUCAGAUAGUCGACUGCAAUGGUGUUUGUUCUGAGUCCUAUGUCUUCUUGUACUAGCUCCAAGUCUUCUAUGCGUUCUGGUCCAAGCCCAGGUUGCACCUUCCCAGUCGUUAGAUCAAUUCUUGUUAGAACUACAUUUGGUGGGAACUGGCUGAUAAAUCGCCCCAUUGGCCUAUACUCUGUGCCUUUUGGAGUAUUCUGUUCUUCUUCAAGGAGAUCCCCGUUUGUGUUUGAGUUUGCUUCUGGUGAGGUGUUUUGAGGAUCACUUUGGCUCUGGUUAUCCUCCGCUUCCACUGCGGAGCGCCUCUCUGAGGAAUCUUCUUCUGGGUUCUCUGCUGGGUGAGUUCGUUGGGGGGGGGAUGGAGGAUUCUUGGCUGUUCAUAUCUGGUGUUGAGGCCCCCAGUGCUCCCAGAUCAGAGAGUAUCUUCUUCAUUGUGGCAUUUGGCGGUGGCUUUUGGCCGUUGAGGAAGUCCUGGACGUCUUUUUGAGCUUUCUCCCUAUGUUCCCUUGUUUCCUGCACCAUCUGGGUUGCCCUCGAAGAUUCUGGUUGUGAUCCCAACUUCCUCUUCCAGUAGAGGAGUUCACUGGAAGGGGGUUGGGUUGGUGGGUUGUACUCCCUUGGUUCCUGCUGGAUGGUUUCCUGCCCUUGUGCUUUGCUGUGAAAGCCAGCUGCUAGGGAGGCAAGGGAUCUAGCCACCGGAGUGCUGAUUAGAGGAUGGUAUUUAGGUAGCUAGGGGUUGUAAGCGGACAUAGCUCUUUCUGCCUUACAAACCUUCUGUUCAUGGCCAAUGAUGCCACAUUUAUAGCACAAAUCUUGUAGUUUCUCAUACUUAAUCAUGACCCACACCUUAGGGAGGUUGGGCCUGGGAACCCAAAAUUCGGUUGGUAUGGGUUUUGUUAUGUUGACCUCAACUCUUUCUCGUAUGAAGGUUCGAAGUAUUUGGCCAUUAACCCAUGAGUUUUCUAUUUCCACAGGCUUUCCGAUCAAGCAGGCAACUUUGGAGGCAUUUGCUGUAGUCAUCAGAUCUAGGGGUAAGCCGUGCAACUGUAUCCAAAAAGCAGCAUAAUCAAAGCAGACCUCAAGGAAGGAGAUCUGUGGAACCCACUCUUUCAGGCUCAACAAGUGGCCCAUAACACUCCAAGGACUUCCUUUAAGCGCUUUAUCAUAGGAGUGAACAUCCUUAAAGUUGAAAAGGAACUUGUUUGCACCUAGAUCUUGUAUGAGGACACUUUCCUGGCAGCUCCAGGCUUUGAGGAUGAUGUUUUUUAUGGCGUUUUUGUUGAGGAUUUUUUCCGUCAGUACUUUCCCAACAAGAGUACAUUUUUUAGUGUUAA